UACGGAGGGUGCGAGCGUUGUCCGGAAUCAUUGGGCGUAAAGGGCGCGUAGGUGGCCUGCUAAGCGUGCGGUGAAAGCUCGGGGCUCAACCCCGAGUCGGCCGUGCGAACUGGUGGGCUUGAGCACUGUAGAGGCAGGCGGAAUUCCGGGUGUAGCGGUGGAAUGCGUAGAGAUCCGGAAGAACACCGGUGGCGAAGGCGGCCUGCUGGGCAGUGAGCUGACACUGACGCUGAGGAGCGAAAGCGUGGGGAGCGAACAGG
rnacentral:rRNA from 1 species